AUUGAACGCUGGCGGCAGGCCUCACACAUGCAAGUCGAGCGAGCGGCGGACGGGUGAGUAAUGUAUGGGGACUGCCCGAUAGAGGGGGAUAACUACUGGAAACGGUGGCUAUUACCGCAUACUGUCGGAUCACCCAUAUGGGAUUAGCUAGUAGGUAAGGUAAUGUCUUACCUAGGCGACGAUCCCUAGCUGGUCUGAGAGGAUGAUCAGCCACCCUGUGACUGAGGCACGGCUCCGACUCCUACGGAGGCAUCAGUGUGGAAUAUUGCACCAGGGGCGCAAGCCUGAUUCAGCCAUGCAGCGUGUAGUAAGAAUUCCCUAGGGGUUUAAAGCACUUUCAGUCGGGAGGCGUUACCGACAGAAGAAUCACCGGCGAACUCCGUGCCAGCAGCCGCGGUAAUUC
rnacentral:rRNA from 1 species